rnacentral:rRNA from 1 species
ACUCCUACGGGAGGCAGCAGUGGGGAAUAUUGGACAAUGGGCGCAAGCCUGAUCCAGCAAUGCCGCGUGAGUGAUGAAGGCCUUAGGGUUGUAAAGCUCUUUCACACGCGACGAUGAUGACGGUAGCGUGGGAAGAAGCCCCGGCUAACUCCGUGCCAGCAGCCGCGGUAAUACGGAGGGGGCAAGCGUUGUUCGGAAUUACUGGGCGUAAAGGGCGCGCAGGCGGCUGCUCAAGUCAGGCGUGAAAGGCCUGGGCUCAACCCGGGAAUUGCGCUUGAGACUGGGCUGGCUUGAGUGCGGGAGAGGAUGGUGGAAUUCCCAGUGUAGAGGUGAAAUUCGUAGAUAUUGGGAAGAACACCGGUGGCGAAGGCGGCCAUCUGGACCGCAACUGACGCUGAGGCGCGAAAGCGUGGGGAGCAAACAGGAUUAGAUACCCUGGUAGUCCACGCCGUAAACGAUGAGUGCUAGACGUUGGGAGGCCUAGCCUUCCGGUGUCGCAGCUAACGCAUUAAGCACUCCGCCUGGGGAGUACGGCCGCAAGGUUAAAACUUAAAGGAAUUGACG